rnacentral:lncRNA from 1 species
CGGAUUCCACUUUUUCCGGUGGUGCUUUGGUUGGAGGUGGGCUUGGCUUCGGCAUUGGAACUUGGCUUGGCUCUGCAGCUUGCAAAGAAGUUGAAGCUUCUUGACUUGGUUCACCUGAUCCUUGGACAAUUACCUCCACUCGAGGAGUUCGUUUUUUAGUGACCCUUGAUUUUUUUCGAGUUUUCAUAAUAUGUCUAGCCUGUCAAGUAUUCAACAAAAACUAGAUAUAGAUUUCUAAAACAAUAACUGUUAAGUGAAAAAAUUAAUUUUCUAAACAAAUCUUAACAUUUGUUAAAAAAAAUAUAAUAGCGAAAACACGAUAAUAUUCAAUAUACCUAUAAUAAAAGUAAUGACAUAUAUAUAAGGAGUUUUACGUGUAUCGAUUGUCAAGUAUUUACCCAUUAAUUUGUUUAGGGAAUUAGUCAUUUUUCUCUAGUGAAAUUCGUGGGGGUUGGGGGUUUGAUGUCUAUAUUUUCAAUGAGUCGCUAUAGAUCAAUUUUGAGACAUAAUCCUCAAAUAUCCAGACCAGAACCCUAGCCAGAAAUUAAAUGAUCAAAAGAAUUGGCAAAGUUAAGGAUUCACAAAUCAACUCUGAAUUUCUUUUGUAAAAAUAAUUUGAUUAGCUUUCUCCCAAUUUUCCUUCUCGAUUCUAAAAGUAUAACAUCAAGGUGUAAGACCUAAAUAGCCAGCAUCAGCAAAUAUUCAUAGGACCAGUAAAACUAAAACAUAAAAAGCCAAUCAAGAACAAAUCCAGCACCACAAGAACCAGACUAAUUAAAACAAAGAAAAAAUGAUCCAAAAAAAAAGAGCACAAUGAUCUGAAAUCAGAUAUCUAUAACAUAACUGCAUUCAACCUCAAAAACCAACUUCCGGAUCACCAUAUAUAAUUCCGCUCCAUCAAGUCGUCGAAAAAAUCAUUGAAAAACAUCAUAUCAUUACUAGAAGUUCACAAAACGUUUGGAUCUAAAAAAAUUAGUAAACAUUCGGAUUUAAAAAAACUUAAACUAGUUUUAAUAGAAAUCUUUGUUAAUCACUAAUUUCCAUUAGUCAUUUCUUUGUCAAACAAUCAGUUUAUACAUUUAAAGAAAUCGCAGCGAACUAAAAUCAACAGACAGAGAGAUAAAAUGUCUGAAAGCACUACUCACAUUGGAAUCUUCAUAAUCAGGAACAUCUAUAAUUUCUUGACUCUGAGCUCUCCUUGCGUGACCGAUAACAGUCUGCAGCUUAGGUCUCUCCAUUCUCAGUUACAAGACGGCGGAGAAUUCAAG